rnacentral:rRNA from 1 species
GAGUGAAAUAGAACCUGAAACCGUGUGCUUACAAGUAGUCAGAGCCCGUUAAUGGGUGAUGGCGUGCCUUUUGUAGAAUGAACCGGCGAGUUACGAUUUGAUGCAAGGUUAAGCAGUAAAUGUGGAGCCGUAGCGAAAGCGAGUCUGAAUAGGGCGUUUAGUAUUUGGUCGUAGACCCGAAACCAGGUGAUCUACCCUUGGUCAGGUUGAAGUUCAGGUAACACUGAAUGGAGGACCGAACCGACUUACGUUGAAAAGUGAGCGGAUGAACUGAGGGUAGCGGAGAAAUUCCAAUCGAACCUGGAGAUAGCUGGUUCUCUCCGAAAUAGCUUUAGGGCUAGCCUCAAGUGAUGAUUAUUGGAGGUAGAGCACUGUUUGGACGAGGGGCCCCUCUCGGGUUACCGAAUUCAGACAAACUCCGAAUGCCAAUUAAUUUAACUUGGGAGUCAGAACAUGGGUGAUAAGGUCCGUGUUCGAAAGGGAAACAGCCCAGACCACCAGCUAAGGUCCCAAAAUAUAUGUUAAGUGGAAAAGGAUGUGGCGUUGCCCAGACAACUAGGAUGUUGGCUUAGAAGCAGCCAUCAUUUAAAGAGUGCGUAAUAGCUCACUAGUCGAGUGACACUGCGCCGAAAAUGUACCGGGGCUAAACAUAUUACCGAAGCUGUGGAUUGUCCUUUGGACAAUGGUAGGAGAGCGUUCUAAGGGCGUUGAAGCAUGAUCGUAAGGACAUGUGGAGCGCUUAGAAGUGAGAAUGCCGGUGUGAGUAGCGAAAGACGGGUGAGAAUCCCGUCCACCGAUUGACUAAGGUUUCCAGAGGAAGGCUCGUCCGCUCUGGGUUAGUCGGGUCCUAAGCUGAGGCCGACAGGCGUAGGCGAUGGAUAACAGGUUGAUAUUCCUGUACCACCUAUAAUCGUUUUAAUCGAUGGGGGGACGCAGUAGGAUAGGCGAAGCGUGCGAUUGGAUUGCACGUCUAAGCAGUAAGGCUGAGUAUUAGGCAAAUCCGGUACUCGUUAAGGCUGAGCUGUGAUGGGGAGAAGACAUUGUGUCUUCGAGUCGUUGAUUUCACACUGCCGAGAAAAGCCUCUAGAUAGAAAAUAGGUGCCCGUACCGCAAACCGACACAGGUAGUCAAGAUGAGAAUUCUAAGGUGAGCGAGCGAACUCUCGUUAAGGAACUCGGCAAAAUGACCCCGUAACUUCGGGAGAAGGGGUGCUCUUUAGGGUUAACGCCCAGAAGAGCCGCAGUGAAUAGGCCCAAGCGACUGUUUAUCAAAAACACAGGUCUCUGCUAAACCGUAAGGUGAUGUAUAGGGGCUGACGCCUGCCCGGUGCUGGAAGGUUAAGAGGAGUGGUUAGCUUCUGCGAAGCUACGAAUCGAAGCCCCAGUAAACGGCGGCCGUAACUAUAACGGUCCUAAGGUAGCGAAAUUCCUUGUCGGGUAAGUUCCGACCCGCACGAAAGGCGUAACGAUUUGGGCACUGUCUCAACGAGAGACUCGGUGAAAUCAUAGUACCUGUGAAGAUGCAGGUUACCCG